rnacentral:lncRNA from 1 species
UUUCUCUUGUUGUCUCCGAAAAUAAUGUGGAGUGUUUCAAUUUGAAAUGAUUAAUUAUAAAAAAGAAGAUGUGGUAUGAUUGCCAAUGAGACAAUUUUCCACAAGAGACCAAAAUGACACAGAAAUUAACAACUAUAAGUCACCGUACGACCUGUUUCUUUGCUUUGUUUGCUUGUUUCUUUAAGCAUGUUACUCGUACUAUCAC